AGAACGAACGCUGGCGGCGUGCCUAAUACAUGCAAGUCGAACGUGAAAAGGGGCAACCCUUAGUAAAGUGGCGCACGGGUGAGUAACACGUAGGUUAUCUGCCUUUUAGUGGGGAAUAACACAGGGAAACCUGUGCUAAUGCCGCAUAUGUAAGUAAUUACAAAGAUGGCCUCUAUUUAUAAGCUAUCGCUAAAAAGAAGAGCCUGCGGCCUAUUAGCUUGUUGGUGGGUAAUGGCCUACCAAGGCUACGAUAGGUAUCCGACCUGAGAGGGUGAUCGGAACGACACUGGAACUGAGACACGGUCCAGACUCCUACGGGAGGCAGCAGUAGGGAAUAUGCGCAAUGGGGGAAACCCUGACGCAGCAACGCCGCGUGAGUGAGGAAGGUCUUCGGAUUGUAAAACUUCUUUUAAUUUGGGAAAAAUGUCCAUAUGGCUAAUAUCCAUGUGAGUGAUGGUAACCAAAAGAAUAAGGACCGCUAACUUCGUGCCAGCAGCCGAC
rnacentral:rRNA from 1 species